rnacentral:ncRNA from 1 species
GGGAUAAACGCUGAAAGCAUCUAAGUGUGAAGCCCCCCUCGAGAUGAGAUUUCCCAUUCCUAUAUGGAAGUAAGACCCCUGAAAGAUGAUCAGGUAGAUAGGCUGGAAGUGGAAGUGCAGCGAUGCAUGGAGCGGACCAGUACUAAUCGGUCGAGGACUUAACCAA